AUAUAACAUGGAGUCUGGUGCAGAUAUGCUGGCGCUAUACACGCUAGAAGUACUGAUUAUUUACAUGGAGUCUGGUGGAGAUAUGCUGCUCUAUACACGCUAAAAGAAGUCAUUAUUUACAUGGAAUCUGGUGGAGAUAUGCUGCGCUAUACAUGCUAAAAGUAGUGAUUAUUUACAUGGAGUUUGGUAGAGAUAUGCUGCUCUACACACGCUAAAAGAAGUGAUUAUUUACAUGGAGUCUGGUGGAGAUAUGCUGCUCUAUACACGCUAAAAGAAGUGAUUAUUUA